AGAGUUUGAUCCUGGCUCAGAAUGAACGCUGGCGGCGUGCUUAACACAUGCAAGUCGCACGAGAAAGCCUUGGCUUGCCAGGGCGAGUAAAGUGGCGCACGGGUGAGUAACGCGUGGGUAAUCUACCCUUGAAUCGGGGAUAACCCUUCGAAAGGAGGGCUAACACCGGAUAAUAUCGGUUUAUUUUUGGAUAUUCCGAUCAAAUGUGGCCUCUACAUGUAAGCUACUGUUUGAGGAUGAGCCCGCGUACCAUUAGCUUGUUGGUAGGGUAAUGGCCUACCAAGGCUACGAUGGUUAGCUGGCCUGAGAGGGCGGCCAGCCACACUGGAACUGAGACACGGUCCAGACUCCUACGGGAGGCAGCAGUGGGGAAUAUUGCGCAAUGGGGGAAACCCUGACGCAGCGACGCCGUGUGAGUGAUGAAGGUUUUCGGAUCGUAAAGCUCUGUCGGGUGGAAAGAAUAAAGGCUGUGUAAAUAAUGCAGUCUGAUGACGGUACCACCAAAGGAAGCACCGGCUAACUCCGUGCCAGCAGCCGCGGUAAUACGGAGGGUGCAAGCGUUGCUCGGAAUUAUUGGGCGUAAAGGGCGUGUAGGCGGGUAUGUAGGUCAGGUGUGAAAUCCCUCGGCUCAACCGAGGAAGUGCAUCUGAAACCGCGUAUCUUGAGUACGAGAGAGGCAGAUGGAAUUCCCAGUGUAGAGGUGAAAUUCAUAGAUAUUGGGAAGAACACCGGUGGCGAAAGCGGUCUGCUGGCUCGAUACUGACGCUGGGACGCGAAAGCGUGGGGAGCAAACAGGAUUAGAUACCCUGGUAGUCCACGCCGUAAACGAUGUGCACUAGGUGUUGGGGGUAAUUAAACCCUCAGUGCCGCAGCUAACGCAUUAAGUGCACCGCCUGGGGAUUACGGUCGCAAGACUAAAACUCAAAGGAAUUGACGG
rnacentral:rRNA from 1 species